rnacentral:rRNA from 1 species
GCUAAGACAGUGCCAGCCGCGGGAGGAAUACGUGGGGUGCAAGCGUUAAUCGGAAUCACACGGCGCAAAGAGCAGGUAGGCGGAUUAAUAAGUUUGAAGUGAAAUCCUAUAGCUUAACUAUAGAACUGCGUUGAAAACUGUUAAUCUAGAAUGUGGGAGAGGUAGAUGGAAUUUCUGGUGUAGGGGUAAAAUCCGUAGAGAUCAGAAGGAAUACCGAUUGCGAAGGCGAUCUACUGGAACAUUAUUGACGCUGAGAUGCGAAAGCGUGGGGAGCAAACAGGAUUAGAUACCCGUGUAGUC